rnacentral:lncRNA from 1 species
CUUCCAGUGGUCACUGUGAGCACUGCCAGCUCAGCAAAUGUAUCACCCAAAAUCUGGGCAAUGUGGGAAAUUGGCUUCAUGGCAGCUAUGGCUUUGCCACUGAUAGGAAUGAUUUCCAGAGAUACUUAAUCCUCAAUUCGGGACUCUUUGCUUCAGGAGUUUGGCUGGCCAGGAACAUGAGUGACAGUGACCUCUUGGCACUUCAGCUGGGGGU